AUUGAACACUGGCGGCAUGCCUUACACAUGCAAGUCGAACGGCAGCACGGGAGCUUGCUCCUGGUGGCGAGUGGCGAACGGGUGAGUAAUACAUCGGAACGUACCCAGUAGUGGGGGAUAACGCACCGAAAGGUGCGCUAAUACCGCAUACGACCUAAGGGUGAAAGCGGGGGACCGCAAGGCCUCGCGCUAUUGGAGCGGCCGAUGUCUGAUUAGCUAGUUGGCGGGGUAAAGGCCCACCAAGGCGACGAUCAGUAGCUGGUCUGAGAGGACGAUCAGCCACACGGGGACUGAGACGCGGACCAGACUCCUACGGGAGGCAGCAGUGAGGAAUUUUGGACAAUGGGGGCAACCCUGAUCCAGCAAUGCCGCGUGUGCGAAGAAGGCCUUCGGGUUGUAAAGCACUUUUGUCAGGGAAGAAAUCUUUCAGGCUAAUACCCUUGGAAGGAUGACGGUACCUGAAGAAUAAGCACCGGCUAACUACGUGCCAGCCGCCGCAGUAA
rnacentral:rRNA from 1 species